GGAUGUGAGGGAGACUUGUCUUUGACAUCUGUCACUGCACCAUCACCAAUGUUGAUUUGGCUGAUCUGAUUGGCUAAGCCGGUGUCCCCUUUGCCCCUCAGAACUCCAUGUGUGUCCCUCCUGAGUGUCACCUUCACCCUUAACCAUUCCUUGUGUCCUUUUUAAAUCUGCAUGCUCAGAGGAAAGGACAGUCUUUCCCAAGUAAAGUCAGUCCAAGGCUGUAAUGUUGAAAUAAACUCUUAACUCUGUGUGAAGACUGGGGAGUGUCUUGCUGUUCUGUUU
rnacentral:sRNA from 1 species